UACGUAGGGGGCAAGCGUUGUCCGGAAUCAUUGGGCGUAAAGAGCGUGUAGGCGGCCCGAUAAGUCCGCUGUGAAAGUCCAGGGCUCAACCCUGGAAUGCCGGUGGAUACUGUCGGGCUCGAAUCCGGAAGAGGUGAGUGGAAUUCCUGGUGUAGCGGUGAAAUGCGUAGAUAUCAGGAGGAACACCGGCGGUGUAGACGGCUUUCUGGACCGUAGCUGACGCUGAGACACGAAAGCGUGGGUAGCAAACAGG
rnacentral:rRNA from 1 species